rnacentral:rRNA from 1 species
AACGUAGGAGACAAACGUUAUCCGGAGUUACUGGGCGUAAAGGGCGUGUAGGUGGUUGCGUAAGUCUGGCGUGAAAUAUCUCGGCUUAACCGAGGCAGGUCGUCGGAUACUGCGUAACUGGAGGACGGUAGAGGCGUGUGGAAUUCCGGGUGUAGUGGUGAAAUGCGUAGAUAUGCGGAGGAACACCGAUGGCGAAGGCAAUCCCCUGGGCCUGCACUGACGCUCAUGCACGAAAGCGUGGGGAGCAAACAGG